UACGAAGGGGGCUAGCGUUGCUCGGAAUCACUGGGCGUAAAGCGCACGUAGGCGGCUUUCUAAGUCAGGGGUGAAAUCCUGGAGCUCAACUCCAGAACUGCCUUUGAUACUGGAGAGCUUGAGUCCGGGAGAGGUGAGUGGAACUCCGAGUGUAGAGGUGAAAUUCGUGAGAUAUUGGAAGAACACCAGUGGCGAAGGCGGCUCACUGGCCCGGUACUGACGCUGAGGAGCGAAAGCGUGGGUAGCAAACGAGG
rnacentral:rRNA from 1 species